UAUGAUGAAAUGAACCUCUGGUCCGUGUUUCUGAUUUAACCGUGACCGAUAUGUUUUACCAAUUUCUGAUC
rnacentral:sRNA from 1 species